CCCUCUUCAUAGAGAUGAGGUUCUUUGUGCUUUUAAUGUAGUUCGGCCUCUGGUUUUCGUUGGGGUAGGGGGUCGCGGUGGCGUAGAGGGGUCAUCGUGAAAGUUUUCUUUUUCUUGUUGGGUCUCGAACGGUCGGACCUUAGUCGGCGUCGCGAUGAGGUUCUUUCUCUAUUUCUGAUAUGGUCGGUUUCAGCCCAGGUUAGGACGAGGUUCUCCUUCUGUUCCUAACGGGGCUGUGGGGGCACAUAUGGGCAUUGUACGGCCUCUCCU
rnacentral:lncRNA from 1 species